AUUGAACGCUGGCGGCAUGCCUUACACAUGCAAGUCGAACGGUAACGGGCCUUCGGGUGCCGACGAGUGGCGCACGGGUGAGUAAUACAUCGGAACGUGCCCGAUCGUGGGGGAUAACAAGGCGAAAGCUUUGCUAAUACCGCAUACGAUCUACGGAUGAAAGCAGGGGACCGCAAGGCCUUGCGCGGACGGAGCGGCCGAUGGCAGAUUAGGUAGUUGGUGGGAUAAAAGCUUACCAAGCCGACGAUCUGUAGCUGGUCUGAGAGGAUGAUCAGCCACACUGGGACUGAGACACGGCCCAGACUCCUACGGGAGGCAGCAGUGGGGAAUUUUGGACAAUGGGCGCAAGCCUGAUCCAGCCAUGCCGCGUGCAGGAUGAAGGCCUUCGGGUUGUAAACUGCUUUUGUACGGAACGAAAAGCCUUCUUUUAAUACAGGAGGGUCAUGACGGUACCGUAAGAAUAAGCACCGGCUAACUACGUG
rnacentral:rRNA from 1 species